UCAGCCUUGUCGUCAUGUUGUGUUUGGUUUACAAGAUACAAAUAGGUUUUAAAUGCUUUGCUUCAUUACACGGGGGCAUCGAGGUUGCCAUGUUCAGGCCGAGGGCAGGGCUCCUGGACAUUAGCAAAAGCAGAGACUGACGUUUCUACCUUAUGGUGUCUUAGGUUGCCACCAAACGUGCUGCCACCGGAGCACGUGUCCAGUGAUACGUGAGCACCUGUGUGUGACAUAGCCGACCUGCAAUGCCUUCAGCCCACGGCGAAGGUCAAAAAAAGUCCUGCUGGACUUUCCUUCUUUUCAGGCAUUCCUGGGAAGAAGAUGUAGUCGCCAGCUUCACAGCGUGUCAUCCAAAUCCACUGGAGCUACUCAGAAUGAACCCUUUCAAAUAUUAGCAUACGUUCAAAAUGAAAGAAAAAGCUUCCUUUAUGCCUCACCUACUCUUACACAACUGGUGAAAGCCAUGAAGAGGUUUGAAACAUCUAGCAAUCUUCCCAUGCUGACCAUUGUUUCGCUGUGACCCUCCUGAUGGACCUGCCCCAGGUCUCCUCUGUGGUCAAGAAAAUUUUCCUCACAAAACUUCAGGCCUGCUACCCUGCUUGCUGUCAAACUAUGGAGUCUUCCUUGGGCUUUCAUGGGAUUUUACUGACCUGAUGCGGUGUAGGAUGG